rnacentral:rRNA from 1 species
CCAGACUCCUACGGGAGGCAGCAGUGGGGAAUAUUGCACAAUGGGGGAAACCCUGAUGCAGCAACGCCGCGUGAGUGAAGAAGUAUUUCGGUAUGUAAAGCUCUAUCAGCAGGGAAGAGAAUGACGGUACCUGACUAAGAAGCCCCGGCUAACUACGUGCCAGCAGCCGCGGUAAUACGUAGGGGGCAAGCGUUAUCCGGAUUUACUGGGUGUAAAGGGAGCGUAGACGGCAUGGCAAGUCAGAUGUGAAAGCCCGGGGCCCAACCCCGGGACUGCUCUUGGAACUGCGCGGCUGGAGUGCAGGAGGGGCAGGCGGAAUUCCUGGUGUAGCGGUGAAAUGCGUAGAUAUCAGGAGGAACACCGGUGGCGAAGGCGGCCUGCUGGACUGCGACUGACGUUGAGGCCCGAAAGCGUGGGGAGCAGACAGGAUUAGAUACCCGAGUA